AGCCUCAUUCUACUGAAAAUGGGCACGUUGUUCACGGUGUCCAUAAACUGUUAAUGUGGCUAUAUUGAGAAUACAGGUUCUGCUUCUAUUACUGUAAUUUUAUUGCAGCGGUGACAAUGGGAUCUGUUAACAUAU
ensembl:snoRNA